AAAUUUUAUUAAUUAUUCUUCUCAUCAAUUUCUCAAUAGCAAAUGGAUAUGAUUCAAUGAAGUUGCAAACAAUCGAAAAAAAGUUAGACACCAAUACGGAAACGUUGAAUCGCUAUUUUAAUAUAUUACAAGAAAUACUGAAGAGACUUCCAAAAGGUAAACCAAAUGUUCAAGUUUUGCAAGAUGUGGCAAAGGAAAAGCAUCUAGACAGAGUUCGCAAUAUAAGCAUUAUAGACCUGGGUAUGCCAACGACGGAAAUUUAAAUACGUUUUCUCACACAAUAGACGACCUGUCGCCAUAUUGGGAGGUUGAUCUUGGUCAUGAAUUCAAGAUCAGAAGGGUUGAAAUAUUUGUAAGGAAAGAUUGCUGUGGAACACUUAUCCGUCGGUUAGAUAUUACUGCUGGGCCAUCUUAUAAUCAGAUGACGCGGUGUAAUUAUUACACAGGACCAGCCAAGACAGGAGCCCAUCUGGUCUUUGAAUGCAAUCCGAUAAUAAAUGGCCGUUACGUCAGGAUUCAGAAGAUAAAUUAUGCAUCAAACUUAGCUUUACCUGAGGUAAAGGUGAUGGCUGUUGUUGACAGGACAGUUGGAUAAAGAGACAAGUUCUUUCUAAAUGCAUGUGCAUGGCUUGAAGCAUGUAUCAAAAUCUGUUUAUUAUAUGUAUCAUGUUAUUUUAUUGCAAAGUUAUAAAUCUAAAUAUAAUCUUAACACAAGA